ACAGGAACAGCACCCAUUAAAAGAGCAAAGGAUGGGAAGGGGUGGUGGUUAAGGAGGCUGUACUGGAGAGCGUGCGACCUGAGCAUGAGAAACAACUGAGAAAACAGCUUACAGGAGCAGUAAAACCUAGCCUGCUGCUGCUGUGCCACAGCUGGAGCCCCACAAGUCCUCCUGACACUGCCCUAAGUGACUACAGACACAGCCUGGACCAGAGCAGCAGGUUGCCUGUGUCUCCUCCAUGGCAGAUUGCCAGGUCUGAGGUCAAGACUCAGACCCAGUCCUUGGCAGAUUGACACAGUGGAACCGAGAGCCAGACAGGACAGGAAUGUCCCAGCUGCUGACCCAGAGAAAAAGCAACUACCUACCCUUCCACAGAAGAUACUCCAGAAUUUCUCUUCCUCCAACUCUGGUGAGAGAGAUCAGGUAUGCCCAAGGGUACAUGGGCUGAAUUUCAUUCCCAGACUAUGAAAGACAACUAACUUAGUACACUUAAACAUUCAAAGUGUAUCUCAAGUGGCCAAAAAUGCUUCCAUGUCUCUAUAAACAAGUCCUACAAUACAUACUGCAUUUAUGUCCUUUAAAAGUUCAUGAAUGCCAAUAUUCACACCUUACUCCCAUGCUCUGGUUUCUAAGAACAGUUUUCAUGCAACGGAAAAUUUGAUCCAAAUUUAAGGAAGGAGAACUUACUCAGUUCCCUGAAUGCCCAAGACAUCAAGCUGUCCCUUUAAAAGGGAAGCCUAGACCUCAUCCCAAGUGUCAGCCAAAAGCUGCAAGUGUAUCCUCCCACUGCCAUUCAUAAGGACAGUAUGCCAAAUACAAACUUCACCCUUGAGAGCUCUGUUUGCUAGAAACCAUGCCUGUGAAAGCUGGCAAAUCAUCAAGUGUACAGAUAAAUGCCUUUGGGUUCAAAUAAUGAUACUGGCUUGGACUGGGUAUCAGCCCAACACAGCAGCUGCUGCACAGAUGCCUUUUUACCAGCUACUUCCUUUGAAUGAACUAGGAACAUCCUUGUUCAUGAACAAGUUUCAAACUACUGACCAACCUCAGUAAUUGAGGGCAACAAGAAGAACAACACAUGAAAAACAGCACCUUUUUCCCAAAUAAAAAAUUCAUACCAGCUCAGAUAGUCUUCUCUCAACCUCACUUACAUGAGUGUAAAACAUUCAAAAGGCCUAAGCACCUGUCUUUGAAGAACAUGAAAACAACAGGUCAGACAAUCCAUGCUCAAUACCUCUAAGGAAAACCAAAGAAUGGAAGCACAUAUUUAUUACGCCAACAAGCAUACAUGGGUGACCUUUAGAGAAGCUCACUUCAGCCAAAAUUCCUUCUGAGAACUGAGAAUUGACAGGUCUCAUACAGAAAGCCACAGGAGAUGUGACCACAUCAUAAAAUGAGUUGAGCUUUUAAAGCCACCUUGCAUGACAUUUUUGUUGGUAAGAGCUCAGCUCGUACAAAGCGAGGCCACCAUUGGCAACUACUCUGUGCACGUGGCUCUCUGAGAGUUCAGUGGGAGUUGGGGUGGGUUCAGAGGAAUGAAUUUCCUUUCAUUCAUCAGGGCUCUCCCAGGGUCUCCUCCAAAUGUGUUAUGGGACACUUUAAUCCAUUGCUUGGGCAGUGGAGUAGACUAUCUCUCAAUACCUGCAGAUGAUCUGCAAGCACUCUGGACAGGAAUAGAAUUCAGGAAGAUCUUGCCCAACUGGAGCAAUUGUCUGAAAUAAAAAGGGUGCAAUUCAAUAAGGAUAAGGGGGAAGCAGUAAGCUCUGGUAGCAAGAACCAGCUGCACAAGUACAAAACAUGAGUAGCUGACUGCAAUUCCACAGAAAAGAAUCUAAACAGAAUUUAAAAAAUUAAAGCCUUGCAAGGGUGUCAAGCCUCUACACAGGACAUACAGAGAAUAACUGAAAUCUUACUUUAUUCAGCCUGAGCCCUUAGCUUCAAUUUCAUGGCCAGGUUUGGAUACCAGCUCUCCAGAAGGAUAUACACCUACCUGUCCUCAUAACCCAGAUCCUAGGAGUAAGGUCAAUCGUGCAGUAACACUCCAAUAGGAUGGGGGAGUCAAUAGCCAUCUUCCAAUUCCCAUCCUGUGCACAGAGAUACAGGAGCUGGGCAUUUUGCCCAAAAAAAGUGCUCUUCAGUCACACUUACCACAGGAAGCACACUAGUGGAACUUUGUGCAUCUGCGUUACUGCUACAGAGCCAGAACUGAAUCAAGCACUUGGAGAAAGAAUUGAUUCAAAGAUGGCUUGAAGAGGGAAUCAGCAAACAAACACAUUCAGCCUUUUUUUAACAUCAGAAUUACUACUGAACAGGUAAGAGACCCAAUAGUAAGUGUGCAGUCUGAGCUCAAGAGAACUGUCACCAUACACAGAUGUGUUUGUGCACUAAAGGACAACAAAUGAAUCCCUCCUUAGUGUCUGAAGCUUAUAAAAGACUGGAUGUACGUUUAGCCAGAAGUAUUUCAAAUCCAAGGUAGUUUUCAGUUCUGUGUCUCAGUGCUCCCCCAAAAAGGCUAUUUACUGGGCUACUUUCUGUGACCUGCAAUAGGGACUGAUUACAGCUGGUCUCAAAAUUACAGCACUUGGCAGGGGUCAUCUGGGAUCUGGAUGAGGGAUUUGAUGGUCACUUGAUCACAGUUUAUCAGGGAACUUGCAGCAGAGUUUAUGGCAUUUUGAGAUGAUGUUUACACUAGUAACAGAAUUCCUUCUCCAUCCUUCUCUUUUAAAAAGAUGUUUCACUUUAUUUUUAGCACCUUCUAUUUAAAGGAUCUGCAGCUUUGAAUCAGCUUUCUUUCAUAAGACUCAAUUUACAGAACAGUAAUUGGAACACAAAGCUUUGCAGAAGAAAACUGACAGGGACCAAAUGUGGGAGAGUCAAUGCAAAAUUAAGGAAAAUAACAUUUCAAGUUCUGAAGUGAUGUGUUUAAUUGCAUGCUCUGUUCACACAGUCCCUUAAAGUCACUGUAGUUGCUAUACAUCCCCUAAAAGACCAGCAAGAAUUCAAAGAUUUAACACUCGGUUUUAGGUGCAUUCUAGCUACAGAUAAGAGGAAAUGCUGGCUCAAAGACCAACCCACAUGACAGUUUUUGAGACAGUGAAUCUCAAACACCAUAAUGGAUUUAAAGGGGUUUCACAGGCUACUACCAAACAAAAAUAUUGUAAUAGUAUAGAGAAAGCACUCUGCAGGGAACUGAUCUUCACUGGAAAAACCAAAAGCAGUAGCCCACACUUCUUCACCUCACUCUCAAAAGAAGAUUUUGGCAACUAAUUUCCUGCAGCAACUAGAAGUCUCUAAGGAGAAGGAAACACAGACAACUGUCUCAAAUACACAGAGCAUGAAGUCUGGCAGUGGUGUUUCGCUGAUCACUUGCCUGCUCUGUUGAAAUACUGGCACCAGCCUUCCCCUGCUCUAGGUGGGCUUGAUUAUUUAAAAACAAGAGUAAUAUUUUUCAACCUCUACCAAUGCUAUUACUUGUUUUACAUAAUUACAUUAUUUUAAUAAAUAAUUAAAGAAAUAUUAAAAAUGUUUCAUUAUUACCUGUACUGGGUAAUAACCAUAUACUAUUUCUGAAGGAGCUUUGCUGAAGGGUUCAAAUAGUGAAUUCCAGUAUGACUAUUUAAUACUAAUCAUAGUAAGAAUAUAACAAUCUUCUAAGUAUCUUCUUUUUCCUAGCUGCAGCUCAAAACUCUGGAAUCCAGUUCUCUUGGGUCCCACAGAUUGGUCCCCAAGCCUCAGGAACACUGCACACAACUGUAAUCAUAACAGCUUUAUGGCUUCCAAGAUCUAGUGAUGAGCCUUUCCAUGCUCAACAGGCUGUCUUCCACUUUCUGAAGCCAGGCCCGGCGCUCUUCUGUCCCAGCCAGGCACCCAAUGCUCUCAUGCUCCUCCUGUCCCAGACAGCACAGCCACAGAUGCAUUAAUUAACACACCACCUGCUAAUGAAGCACGGCUCUUCUGUGAAGGCUGCCAGGGCUGUCAGUCAGGCUGAACUUCAAUUACAUCAUCUUACAAACUGUGCAAGGACUAAUCUAAGAGCUUCUGUUCUUAAACCAAAACGUGUACCAAGGAUAAGGUUUCUUGUACCAAUGAUUUGUCCUCUCGCUGGAUACAGUCAACCUUCAAUUCUUGCAGGGAGUGUACAGAACAAAGUAGCUGACAUGAUCCACAGCUUGGCUUCCAGGCAAAAUAGAUCUACAGCAGAUCACAUUUUCAGAGAGAAACUUUAACUACAAGCUGAUAAUAUCAAUGCAGAAAGUCUGCCUGAUCUAGGGAUUCUUAAUUCUAUCAACAAAAGACAUAGAAAAACUCUGCAAUAUUAUCCACAUUUGAAUGAACUGAGACAUGAAUGAGACAAGUUAAAAAAACCCAAACAAAGCCAAAAGCAAAGCGUUGUUGAAUAUAACACCCAUGGUCUCAACAGACACCUUGAACUCUACUUCACAUGGGAUGGAGCCCUUCAGCAUCUACUGAUACCUGCCAAAGAAUAUCACUAUGCCAUGACACUCUCCUGCAAAUGAUCCUGUGCAAGAGCAAGCUCUGAGUGCUCCUACCCAGCAGACCCUGAUACGUUGGUAUGAAGGAGGAAGCAAAAUAAUAAAUUCAGCAUUUCUGAAAUAAAAAGAUCCACAUUUUAAAGUAUUGCAUUAUAGAUCCAAAAAUCUGUAAAAUCCCUCAGAAGUGUUGACUUUUAUACAACAUGGCUGGUAAAGAAAAGGUAUAUAUUUGUAUGUAUGAACAUGUUAUUGAAGAUGAUCAGGCUCCUGCUGCCUGUGAUGCCCACAAAACCCGAUUUUCUCAUAAACAGUGAUGAAGGGAAAGCUGCCUGUGAUUUCUGGUGAAAAUGGCCUGGCACAGUGGAACAGCGCCAGGGUCUCUAUAAAUUGAAUACUCAUCCUCAAAUAAAACUGCACUAAAAUGA